ACUCUGGAAAUUAUUUUCUCAUUAAGGCUUGUACAGUCGUCAACUAACUAAUUAUUUAUCAAAAACGACAAAAAAAAAUGAAAAAUCCAUUCGCAAUAUUAAUCUUUUCGUUAAUAAUAGCAAUUUUUUACACCGAAACUAACGCGUGGACUACAAGAUGUGAGAACAAGGUAAGUAAAUGCAGCUGCGACAAAUUUUGCACCCAAAAAGAUGGACAGCGAGGUUGUCGACGAAUUCAGGAUUUAGGUCGAACGUAUAUCACGUACCCUUGCCUUUCAAAGAUUAAGGACUAUCGAGCUGUUUGCGAUUGUGUUAUGGAUCUAGUGGAUAGGAAAAGCCACCAUGGGCAUGGGCACUGAAUUAUAAAGAAAAAGAAAACAAAAACUUACAAGAUUUUUUAAAGACUGAAUUUUUUAGUGAAUUUUGUAAUACCUACUUAGACUCAAUAUCAAAUUUUCGAAAAAUAGCCCAUAUUAGUAAAUUUUUAAUACAAGUAUUAAAUUAUUAUUUUUUUUACAUAUUUUCUUACAAUUUUCGAAGAUGCUACACCUGAGGUUGAUGUUGCUACUGCAGUUCAUUUGAAAACAGUAAAGCCUUUCAAAAGGGCAUACAUCCCAAUUCCUCAGCUCAUUCAAAAAAUAAAAUUGUUAAUCAUUGAGUAA